rnacentral:tRNA from 2 species
GCCGGAAUAGCUCAGUUGGUAGAGCAACGCACUCGUAAUGCGUAGGUCGUCAGUUCGAGUCUGACUUCCGGCACCA